rnacentral:rRNA from 1 species
CUGCGACCCCAGGUCAGGCGGGACC